ACAAAAUCAUAAACAAAAAAAAAAAAAACAUACGACAGUGACGAAGAAAAGUGACGUCAAAAAAAUAUCUCUCCCUGAUAGCCACACUCUAAAAUGGAAUAUUAUAGUUUGUAAAAUGAUUUUCCUUUAUUGUCGACGUUAUUUUAUUUAUUUUAUCUGCUGUCAAAACGCAUUCGACUGCCGAAAGUUGGCGCCAACUUAUUGCCGCAACUUCCCAAGUAAGACUGAGACAAGUUUUAAAAAAAAAAAAGUUGAUUCAACCAAGAGAAAACUUUCUUGAGAGAAAAAAUAUACAUAGAGAAAGAAGGGGUCGUCGGUACUAGACAACGGCAAUGGGAGUAGUUCGGUGCUCGUCACUAGAUAGCGCCUACCACUUGUAGUGUCCCUGAUAAUCCAAAUAAUUAUUAAAAUUGGAAGAUCUUCAUCGUCGCCAAAUCCAUUGGGGUUCUUGAGAGCCUUGGAUUGCCAGAAUCUUCUCGAUCGUUUCUAUUUCGACUUUAGUUUCUGCUAUUUUUUCAUCUACUUGAACCAUUUUCGCCUUCGUUUCUACUAUUUCAUCCUUUAGUGCUUCUUUAAUUUAUAAUUCCCAUUAUAAAUUAUAUGAACGCUCUACAAAUUUUUAAAUUUAACCAAAUCCAAUUGCUCACUCUAAAUGAAUAAAUAAUUAAAGAUAAUUUAUAAUUCUGUCUAUCACUCAGGCAUUGGUUUACUUUUAAAUAAAUUAUAAAUAAAAAACUUGCUUAUCAGGGAAAUUGAAGAGAAUGUAGAACGUAGAUACAAUAUACGACUAUUCUCUAAUAAUGAAUUGUAUUAACGCAUUUUUGUAUACGCAUUUUUUUUUUAAUUCUUAUUCUGCUUAAAUUUUAUUUAUUUUAUUCUAAAAUUAAAAAAAUUAACAAUUGUCAGUUGCUUCACAGUCGUGUGCAUGAAUUUUGUAUAAGUGUAAAUGUAGCAGACAUAAGACAAUUUUUAAAUUACAUAUAAAAAAAUUAAACAAUUAAAUUGAUAAAAUAAAAAAAAGCAUCUACUGAUUUUAUAAUUUUCUGAAAGUCCAUUUUUUAAUCUUUUUGUUCAAAAAAAUUUAUUUUAUUAUUUUCAAAUUUUAAAAAUUGUCAGAUGUCCGCUAACUUCACUGUCAUGACUUUUGUUCAUUUCCAAAUCAUCAGUCACCAGUUAUUAUUAUAAUGCACUUAAAAAAUAAUUACAGCGAUCAUUAUAUUAUUUAUUUAUUUUAUAACAUAUUUCUGUAGUUUACAAAAGUAAAAAAAUUAUUAAAAAUUCAAAUAAUGGAUACAAUUAAAUUUUAGUAACAAGUAAUUUCUGUAGAUCUUUAAAUUUUAUAACUGUAUUUAUAUUUUGAAUCCUUACAUGCGCUUGUAAUGAUGCAGUUCUGCUGAGUUUGACUGUAAAAUAUUAAAAUCAUUCAAAUCUUUUAGUCGCAAUUUAUUUACGAUAUUAAAAGUAGCCGACAACUUAAAAUUUUACUGUUUUUAAUUACUAAAGUUAUUACAAAAAUUUUAAAAAAAUAUCCACAAGAGAAUUUUCAAAAUUCUUUACAUGCAUUUUUAUGAGUGUAAAUGUGGCAGACAUACGAUAAUUUUUUAAUUCCAUGUAAAAAAAUUAAAGAAUUAAAAACAUAAAAUUAAAAAAAAUACAUGCAUUGAAUUUUGAA